UGCGCAUGCGCAAGCGCUUUAGCCUCUUCUAGGCGUGAUUGCAAAGCGCUGGAGGCGUAGCGCCCGCGCGCUUUGUGCUGAAGGGGAACGGCGAUAGCUGAGAGCUGCUGCUUUUCCAGUAUCCCGCGGUUCGUUUUCUGUCACAUAUGCCUACGCAGGUGCGCGUGAGAAAAGAGCCCGGUCCUCCUCUCGGAAGACGCUGAGAGGCUGAGCAGGCUCGUGCACGCGUGAUUUUCUUAAGCGAAAUGACCAAAUGCCUCUCUCCUUUUAGCGGGCGCGUUUGUGUGAUCUAUGGCUCUGUCAGUUUGAAACAGUUAAAAGAGAAGCCAAAGCCUGGGCUUUUAAGAUGCCGGCCUAGCAACCCCAUUCAUCAUUGCGUCGCGGCGUUUUUUAACGUCCCCGCGCUCGGCUGGGGUUAACGUCUUAACAACUCCUUUGACGCAAGGCAGAGUCUGGAUCCAGCCCAAGGGGUGGGUGCUCAACAGAAGAGACCCUGUGGGAAAUUAGAAUCGGGAAGCCCGCGUGAGAAAGAGGGGGGUUCCCCCCCCCCAGAAAAACAGCAUAAGAAAAUAUAUACUCUCUACGUAGGUUAGGAGGGAGAAAAGUCAAUUUUGUAUACUCUGCCAGCUCCAGUGAUGAAGAACUAGGAUAGAUAUCAACUAAUUGCAAGGCUGUACUUCCAUCCGUUACAAAGGAACAGACUCAGGCUCACAUAACAAUUUUUGAUGGAUAAACUUCUAGUCUGAAGAAGAGUCUACAUGUUAUGUUUAAAAAAGCACAAAGAAAGAAAAGG